rnacentral:rRNA from 1 species
GACGAACGCUGGCGGCGUGCUUAACACAUGCAAGUCGUACGGUAAGGCCCUUUCGGGGGUACACGAGUGGCGAACGGGUGCGUAACACGGGAGUAACCUGCCCACAACUUUGGGAUAACGCUAGGAAACUGGUGCUAAUACUGGAUAUGUGCUCCUGCUGCAUGGUGGGGGUUGGAAAGCUCCGGCGGUUGUGGAUGGACUCGCGGCCUAUCAGCUGGUUGGUGGGGUAGUGGCCUACCAAGGCGGCGACGGGUAGCCGGCCUGAGAGGGUGACCGGCCACCCUGGGACUGAGAGACGGCCCAGACUCCUACGGGUGGCAGCAGUGGGGAAUAUUGCACAAUGGGCGCAAGCCUGAUGCAGCAACGCCGCGUGCGGGAUGACGGCCUUCGGGUUGUAAACCGCUUUCAGCAGGGGCGAAGCUUUUUGUGACGGUACCUGCAGAAGAAGCACCGGCUAACUACGUG